UGAGUACGAGAUGCUACGGCAUCGAAGCAGUCUAUGUCAUACUUCCAAGAAAAGCUUGCACUGUCAUAAACAAAGAAUGCCUGUACCAUAACCGACACAGGUGGGUAGGUAGAGUAUACUAAGGGGCGCGAGAUAACUCUCUCUAAGGAACUCGGCAAAAUGACUCCGUAACUUCGGGAGAAGGAGUGCCUUAUUUCUAAGGUUGCAAUAACAAGAUCCAAGCAACUGUUUACCAAAAACACAGGUCUCCGCUAAGUCGUAAGACGAUGUAUGGGGGCUGACGCCUGCCCAGUGCCAGAAGGUUAAAGAAGUUGGUUAGCAUUAGCGAAGCUGAUAACUGAAGCCCUGGUGAACGGCGGCCGUAACGAUAACGGUCCUAAGGUAGCGAAAUUCCUUGUCGGGUAAGUUCCGACCCGCACGAAAGGCGUAAUGAUUUGGAUACUGUCUCGGAGAGGGGCUCGGUGAAAUAGACUUGUCUGUGAAGAUGCGGACUACCUGCACCUGGACAGAAAGACCCUAUGAAGCUUUACUGUAACUUGAGAUUGAAAUUGGACUUUAUUUGCGCAGUAUAGGUGGGAGGCGUUGAGAAUAAUCUUGCGGGAUUGUUGGAGCCAUCAGUGAGAUACCACUCUUGUAAUGUUAGAUUUCUAACUUUGUAUCAUUAUCUGGUCAAAGAACAGUUUCAGGCGGGCAGUUUGACUGGGGCGGUCGCCUCCCAAAGGGUAACGGAGGCGCACAAAGGUUUCCUCUGAACGGGUAGAAAUCGUAUCUAGAGUGUAAAGGCAUAAGGAAGCUUGACUGUGAGACCUACAAGUCGAGCAGGGACGAAAGUCGGUCUUAGUGAUCUGACGGUGCUGAGUGGAAAGGCCGUCACUCAACGGAUAAAAGUUACUCUAAGGAUAACAGGCUGAUCUCCCCCAAGAGUUCACAUCGACGGGGAGGUUUGGCACCUCGAUGUCGGCUCAUCGCAUCCUGGGGCGGUAGUCCGUCCCAAGGGUUGGGCUGUUCGCCCAUGAAAGCGGUACGCGAGCUGGGUUCAGAACGUCGUGAGACAGUUCGGUCCAUAUCCGGUGUAGGCGUUAGAAUAUUGAGAGGAGCCUUCUCUAGUACGAGAGGACCGAGAAGGACAUACCUCUGGUGUACCAGUUAUCGUGCCAACGGUAAACGCUGGGUAGCUAUGUAUGGAGUGGAUAACCGCUGAAAGCAUCUAAGUGGGAAGCCCACCUCAAGAUAAG
rnacentral:rRNA from 1 species